UACCAGCACCCCGAGUGGUCGGGACGAUUAUUGGGCCUAAAGCAUCCGUAGCCGGUCCUGCAAGUCUUCCGUUAAAUCCAGCUGCUCAACAGAUGGGCUGCGGGGGAUACUACAGGGCUAGGAGGCGGGAGAGGCAAGCGGUACUUUAUGGGUAGGGGUAAAAUCCGUUGAUCCAUAGAAGACCACCAGUGGCGAAGGCGGCUUGCCAGAACGCGCUCGACGGCGAGGGAUGAAAGCUGGGGGAGCAAACCGG
rnacentral:rRNA from 1 species